ACUAUAGCCCAGGAAAGUUAAUUUUUGGCCUUACACAAAUUCGAAGAUGGCUAAAUUUUGCACCAUUCGAUAGCAAAAAUUCAAAGAAAUCUUGUUUGUUUGGACGAAAACUGCGCUUAUGUGGUUGCUUUUUUCACAAAAUGCGAUUUAAUAUUUUCCAUACAAUUUUCUAUAGAAGCCAUUGAAUGAACAGGUGGCGCCGCGAGUAGUUCAACAUUAUAAAUUCAAUUUGAUAUUUUAACCUCAAAAUAAAUGUUUUUGUUUUCAUUUUUGUGUUCGCGUCUAUACCGUACGUCCGGAAUACGUGAGUUUUUGGUGGUGCCCCACGCUUUGGGCAAGCAUGUGACCUUGAUCGUGUUGUGAAAUUAUUAUUGUCACACCGGGACGCUUUAUUGAUUUCCUUUAAAUAUUAAAAGAAAUCUCCGUCGGUGCAUAUGAUCUUGUACUCAAUCAGCCCAACCGGAUGCUGGAAAUCAGAUUCUCUUGUAAAUCCAUUCCGACUGUCAAAAGCCACGCGAGGUACGCCGGAUAUCGCUGAAUUUCAUCGGGAAGAAAUACCUGUGAGCACCGCAUCCAGAGGUUCUCCUCAACCAUUGUCUACGUGAGUGUCUUCUCGGCGAUCGAAUGCGGGAUCCUGGCGAUCAUUUAUGGCACCUACAUUGCCCGUGUGAUGCGCUUCAAUCGAACCAGACCACUUCCGGAUGCAAUGCGGGGUUUUUUCGAGGGUUGCAGCAAAAUACCGAUGUGGCGGAAUUGCUGAAGAAGCAGGCGUACCCCUCAUAAUGAAUGAAUGAAUUUAUUUUGGCAUGCCCUAUGGAACUACAUGAGAACCUUAAUGGACUAUACAAGCUUCCUGCAGGAUCACAAUCUUCAUCUGAAUCAGGGUCUCAUGCAGAUGAAUUCCGAAGUGAAAGCAAUCACUCUUCCACCUUCGUAAAAUUAAAUUGCCUUACAUUUCUUCUAUACUUUUAUUUAAUUUUCUUUGCCUUUCCGGUCUUAUUUAACACCCACACACACACAAUCAUAACGAUUUCCCCCCUUGAAUGAUCUUUUUAUACAGAAUAAACAACUUGAGAAUUAAAAACAGUAAAAGCUUGCUAAUAAAAUGACCUAAACUUAUCGAGCGUGA